GGUGCGGAACACGUACACAACCUUCCUUUAGGAGGGGGAUACCCCAAAGAAAUGUGGAUUAAUACCCCGUAACAUAUUGGUGUGGCAUCACCCUGUUAUUACUAGUUUCCACGCCUUGAAGAUGGGCGCGCGGUUGAUUAGGUAGUUNNNNNNNUAAAGGCCCACCAAGCCUUAGAUUCUUAGCUGAUGUGAGAGCAUGAUCCGCCACACGGGAACUGAGACACGGCUCCCGACUCCUACGGGAGGAAGUAGUAUUGAAUAUUGUUCAAUGGUCGCAACUCUUAUUCACCCAUGCCGCCGGAAGGAAGAAAGCCCUCCGGAUUGUAA
rnacentral:rRNA from 1 species